rnacentral:lncRNA from 1 species
AAUGUUUCAUCUUAGUAAGGCCUCUGACACAGGAGGCUUGACUUCAUUUGAAUGUUGUAUCGCUUGGGUUAUUGUUUCACAUAGCUUAAAUUUCUGUCCCCCAGCCCAUAUGUCUUCUGACCUUUACAGGCCUUAGAACAUGCUUGCUAAACACAACCAAACCAGAAUGACGAGUGGUGGAGUUCAAGAGACUCAGGAACAUAAGAGGAAUGCACAGCACAGGUGAGGGAAGUAGGAGAAGCCCUGGGUCAGGCCAGGAACGGUGUUACUAGUCAGGGUUCUCCACAGAAACAGAAUCGAU